rnacentral:rRNA from 1 species
AUUGAACGCUGGCGGCAGGCCUAACACAUGCAAGUCGAACGGUAACAGGAAGCAGCUUGCUGCUUUGCUGACGAGUGGCGGACGGGUGAGUAAUGUCUGGGAAACUGCCUGAUGGAGGGGGAUAACUACUGGAAACGGUAGCUAAUACCGCAUAACGUCGCAAGACCAAAGAGGGGGACCUUCGGGCCUCUUGCCAUCGGAUGUGCCCAGAUGGGAUUAGCUAGUAGGUGGGGUAACGGCUCACCUAGGCGACGAUCCCUAGCUGGUCUGAGAGGAUGACCAGCCACACUGGAACUGAGACACGGUCCAGACUCCUACGGGAGGCAGCAGUGGGGAAUAUUGCACAAUGGGCGCAAGCCUGAUGCAGCCAUGCCGCGUGUAUGAAGAAGGCCUUCGGGUUGAAAAGUACUUUCAGCGGGGAGGAAGGGAGUAAAGUUAAUACCUUUGCUCAUUGACGUUACCCGCAGAAGAAGCACCGGCUAACUCCGUG